UUUAGACUCGACAAAGGAGGAUUUGUCGCUUAGUCCUUAAACCUGUUCGCGACCAAAUGAUACGUUGUUACCAAGGACGACAACGUUUAUCGAGCAUAGGUCAUUGUGUGCCAUAUGGGUUGGUUGUCCUCAUAACCAAAGAGUGUGGAGACACUGGUAUGGUAUACAGGUGAGAUGUAAUGGUACAUCUGCACUGAACGUGACCGACUCCGGAGCUAUUUCUGCUGUCAAGAUUUGCUCCGAUGGGAUAUGGGUAUAAAUGUCCCU
rnacentral:lncRNA from 1 species